rnacentral:rRNA from 1 species
UUAAAUUGAAGAGUUUGAUCAUGGCUCAGAUUGAACGCUGGCGGCAGGCCUAACACAUGCAAGUCGAACGGUAACAGGAAACAGCUUGCUGCUUUGCUGACGAGUGGCGGACGGGUGAGUAAUGUCUGGGAAACUGCCUGAUGGAGGGGGAUAACUACUGGAAACGGUAGCUAAUACCGCAUAACGUCGCAAGACCAAAGAGGGGGACCUUCGGGCCUCUUGCCAUCGGAUGUGCCCAGAUGGGAUUAGCUUGUUGGUGGGGUAACGGCUCACCAAGGCGACGAUCCCUAGCUGGUCUGAGAGGAUGACCAGCCACACUGGAACUGAGACACGGUCCAGACUCCUACGGGAGGCAGCAGUGGGGAAUAUUGCACAAUGGGCGCAAGCCUGAUGCAGCCAUGCCGCGUGUAUGAAGAAGGCCUUCGGGUUGUAAAGUACUUUCAGCGGGGAGGAAGGGAGUAAAGUUAAUACCUUUGCUCAUUGACGUUACCCGCAGAAGAAGCACCGGCUAACUCCGUGCCAGCAGCCGCGGUAAUACGGAGGGUGCAAGCGUUAAUCGGAAUUACUGGGCGUAAAGCGCACGCAGGCGGUUUGUUAAGUCAGAUGUGAAAUCCCCGGGCUCAACCUGGGAACUGCAUCUGAUACUGGCAAGCUUGAGUCUCGUAGAGGGGGGUAGAAUUCCAGGUGUAGCGGUGAAAUGCGUAGAGAUCUGGAGGAAUACCGGUGGCGAAGGCGGCCCCCUGGACGAAGACUGACGCUCAGGUGCGAAAGCGUGGGGAGCAAACAGGAUUAGAUACCCUGGUAGUCCACGCCGUAAACGAUGUCGACUUGGAGGUUGUGCCCUUGAGGCGUGGCUUCCGGAGCUAACGCGUUAAGUCGACCGCCUGGGGAGUACGGCCGCAAGGUUAAAACUCAAAUGAAUUGACGGGGGCCCGCACAAGCGGUGGAGCAUGUGGUUUAAUUCGAUGCAACGCGAAGAAYCUUACCUGGUCUUGACAUCCACAGAACUUUCCAGAGAUGGAUAGGUGCCUUCGGGAACUGUGAGACAGGUGCUGCAUGGCUGUCGUCAGCUCGUGUUGUGAAAUGUUGGGUUAAGUCCCGCAACGAGCGCAACCCUUAUCCUUUGUUGCCAGCGGUCCGGCCGGGAACUCAAAGGAGACUGCCAGUGAUAAACUGGAGGAAGGUGGGGAUGACGUCAAGUCAUCAUGGCCCUUACGACCAGGGCUACACACGUGCUACAAUGGCGCAUACAAAGAGAAGCGACCUCGCGAGAGCAAGCGGACCUCAUAAAGUGCGUCGUAGUCCGGAUUGGAGUCUGCAACUCGACUCCAUGAAGUCGGAAUCGCUAGUAAUCGUGGAUCAGAAUGCCACGGUGAAUACGUUCCCGGGCCUUGUACACACCGCCCGUCACACCAUGGGAGUGGGUUGCAAAAGAAGUAGGUAGCUUAACCUUCGGGAGGGCGCUUACCACUUUGUGAUUCAUGACUGGGGUGAAGUCGUAACAAGGUAACCGUAGGGGAACCUGCGGUUGGAUCACCUCCUUACCUUAAAGAAG